rnacentral:rRNA from 1 species
UACGUAGGGUGCGAGCGUUAAUCGGAAUUACUGGGCGUAAAGCGUGCGCAGGCGGUUUUGUAAGCCAGAUGUGAAAUCCCCGGGCUCAACCUGGGAAUGGCAUUUGGGACUGCAAGGCUUGAGUUUGGCAGAGGAGACUGGAAUUCCUGGUGUAGCAGUGAAAUGCGCAGAUAUCAGGAAGAACACCCGUGGCUAAGGCGGCUCUCUAGUACGGUACUGACGCUGAGACGCGAAAGCGUGGGGAGCGAACAGG